UAGGGUACCUAUUUCGGUGGUAUUCACCUCUUCCCAUUCCGAACAGAGAAGUUAAGCCCACCAGAGCCGAUGGUAUUGCCGUAACAGGUGUGAGAGUAGGUCGGUGCCCAAC
rnacentral:rRNA from 1 species